UGAUCUGGAACUGGACUUGUAGACCAGGCUGGUCUUGAAUUCACAGAGAUCUACCUACCCCAGUCCCCCAAGCACUGGUCAGAUGCCACCAUGCGAGGUCAAUGAUGGUAGAGGCAGUGCCUUGGAAUACGCUUUUGAAUACAUUGGUUUUCCAUGAACAUGUUUACAGCACAGAAAAGCAGAGGGAGAGAUGAGAGCAAAGGCCAACGAGACCUGAGAAUGUCUGAAAAUGCCACAUGAAAUUCAUUACUUUGAAAAAUGACAUAAAAGAAGAAAACAGAAAUCGAUAACUUUUAUGAUAAUUUAAAAAGUCAAUUAAAAUUCUUACAAACAAA